rnacentral:pre_miRNA from 1 species
UUGGUACUCCCUCCGUCCGGAAAAACUUGUCCCAAGCUUGUUUGUCAAAUGGAUGUAUCUAGCACUAACUUGGUGCUAGAUACAUCCAUUUGAGGGACAAGUUUUUCCGGACGGAGGGAGUAGGAG